rnacentral:lncRNA from 1 species
GACUUUUCAAAACUUAUGAAAUUUUUGGUCUAAGGUCCUUUGACCUUGUUUGACCUAUGAUAAAUCUCUUGGCCAUUUAUUUGGUGUUUGAAUAGGUUUUAGGUUUUUGAUCAAACAUAAUUUAAUUUAAAUGCAUUUUAAUUUGAUUUUAAUUGUUUAAUUGUGUAGAAAUUAUGUUGAGCCAUUUUUAUUGACUUGUGAGGUUGGAC